UCUAGCUCAAAAUAAAUUUUAAAAACUUUAAAAAAAAAAAAAGGAAGGAAAUUCUGAUACCUGCUCUAAUACGGAUGAACCUUGAAGACAUUAUGCUGAGUGAAAUCAGCCAGUCACCGAGAUACAAACACUGCCUGAUUCGACUUACAUGAGGAUCCAAGGGUUUAUUGCCACGAAUGCAAAACAUGCCGACAAUGAAUUGCGUUCACAAAAGAUCAAGUUGCUUUUCCAGGUUCAUGGAGCACCGUGAACCCUCUGAAAAUAUUCGGGGAGCAGUUGCAGCUUUGGGGGCAGCGGCAGUGUGUGCAUAACACAUUUGGGGACACAGUGGAGCUGGCAAAGGCAUGGAUCCCGGAUCUGGACCGCCUGGGUUCAACUCCCAGCUCUCCGACUAACCGGCUGUGCCACCUGAGAAUAGUUACUUAACCUCUCUGGGCCUCAGUCUCCCCGUUUAUCCACGGGGGUCAAAACAGCACCUGUCUCACUGAGCUGCUGUGAGACUAAAUGAGUUGAUGCGUGUCAAGCAUGGUUGGGACAGUGCCUGGCAUGUCGUAAGUGCUCAAUAAACGUUAGGUGUUGUUUUAUUCGUUUUAAUUGUUUAAUCUUUUCGGGAAGUUUAUUUAUUUUGAAAGAGAGAAAGCACGAGCAGGGGAGGGGCGGAGAAGGAGGGAGAGAGACUCCCAAGCAGGCUCUGCCCUGUCAGCGAGCAGCCCCACACGGGGCUGAAACCCACAAACCAUGAGGUCGUGACCUGAGCCUGAAUCGAGAGUCUUGAAGCUUCACCAACUGAGCUCCCCCAAGGUGUUGUUUUCUUACUUCGUGGGAUCGUUGUGAGAAUUACUUGAAUUAAACAUGAGUAUCUAGAAUAGCGUGUGGCACUUGGUACAAGCUAAGGGGGACCAGAGUUCACUGUCCACUAGCAGAGUUUCCGCCACAUGUCCCAUAAUGCCCCUGAGCCUAUGGGACAUUUAGGGAGCCUUCCCAAGGCCACACAAACACACCAUCAUUCCACCAUCUGGCUGCCUGUGGUGGUUUUGGAAUACAUCCACAAAUUCUUCCCUUCGAAGGGUGGAGACUAAUUCCCUUUCCCUUGAAUGGGAGCCAGACUCGACGGCUUAGACUCGAUGGCUUGCUCCUAACAGAUAGAACAUGGUAGAAAUAACGGGGUGUGACUUCUGAGGCCAGGUUACAAAAGACAUUGCUCCUGGGGGCGCCUGGGUGGCUCAGUGAAGUGACCCGCUUCAGCUCAGGUCCCUUAACCGACUGAGCCACCCAGGCGCCCCUAUACUCCUUGUUUAAUCCUUGGGCCAACUUGUAACGUAGGGACUCUUGUCACUUCAUUUUACGGAUGAGGAAGCCAUGGCACAGAGAGGUUACCUAAUGUACCUGAGGCCACCCAGUAAUUAAGUGCAGGAGCUUAAUGAUUAAUUCAUUCAAACGCAGGCAGCCGGACCCACCCCAGCAGUACCCUUAACCACCUGGUUCACACAAAGCCAGUAUUAGUUGUAUUUUUAAUUUUUUUAUUUACUUGUUUUCAGAGAAAGAGCACGCGAGCAAGCGGGGAAGGGCAGAGAGAGAGGGAGAGAGAAUCCCAAGCCGGCUCC